CGGAUGUUGUCAAAAACGAAAAUGUGAAAGAAAUUUAAUGAAAAUUUUAAUAAUUACUUUAAAUUUCUGCUAAAUAACUUGGUAGUCAAUUAUUAAAUAAAGUAUGAAGAGAAAUUUUUUAAACUUCGAAGCCCGGAAAUUAAAAAAAGAAAAAGGAAUGAAGACAACAACGGUUUCUUUAAUUCCACGGCAGGUGAACGCGAAUGAAUGUAAGGUAAUUGUGAACCGGAAGAAUGCGUUUUAAUGCAGGAAAAAAGAACAAAAAAAAGUUUGUGGGAGUCCAAGAUUUUAAACUUAUAAUUUAUACUAAAAUCAAAAUGAAGAAAUUGUUUACCGUGUAUCAUAGUUGUCAGCAAAAAACAAUUAACUAUAAAAACACUGUUAACUUCUUGAUGGUUCAAUGAAAAAUUGGGUUGCAUCUAAAAUAACAAACACCUGUUCAAUUAAAUUAGUGGUAACGAGAUUAAGAUUGAGUUUUUGCAUUUGAAUUGAUGUGGAUUGAGGAUUUUCAACGUCCUGAUCUUGACCUAAAUUGGCAGUACUUUAACUAUGUUGUGCAAAUUAUGGUAGAGAUCGUAACGGUGCAGCUUUGAAUGCGCAUAGCGGGAUAUUUUACACUUUUUAGACCAAUUUUUUUUAAUUUUCAAUUUUCUUUAAUUAAUCUUUUUGGUUCAUUCAUAUGUUUAUUCAUUCAACCGCAAAAAAACGAUGACUAAUACUACCUGAAAGACCAGUUUCUUAGGCAAUAAGAGAUUUAUUCAAAUUUUCCAAGCACAAAACCCAUUUGGUAUAAGAGGAGUUAUUCGUUUCCAAGAAGGUCAUAGGUCUUAGGUAUUAGUCAUCAACAUCCCGGGAUUAAACAAAACUUUCUAACGGUUUUCUUGUUGAUGAGGACAAAGAUUCCGGUUUACGAUAACAAACACCCGGUGCCACUAAAUUUAAUAAUCUACGAAUUCCUCUUAUACAACUUUUAUAAUAUAAAAAUCGCACGUAGGAAAGUUGAGGCCGAACACGAGUUUUCUCUUUUGAUAUGAAUACUAAUCAAUCACGCGAAUUGUUUCGUACGUAUAGAAUCGAUUAGUUUCAAAUGUAUUUGUUUGAAGAAGACAAUAAAACGUUAAUUUAUC